CCCCUUCUGUUCCAUCCUGUAAGAGAUAAAAAGGGCACUCAGAAAGUAAGCCACCAUUCAAAGCAAGUGUGGGUCAGCCCCAAAUACUGAUCACAGGGACAAAAAAAACCCCAAACAACCCUGACCCAAAUGCAUGUGUUGGCUCUAAAUUUAUAAUGCACUCUGUUACACAGGUAUCAUGUUUGUCUGGAGAUCAAAGAGUUCGGAGGAAGUUCUUUGUCAAUCAGUGUUAUUUAUGAUGUGGUCAUAAAUCUUACCGCCGUAGCCUUCACUGAGCAAAUACGCGCUCACUGACAGGUGAUCUAGAGGAAUAUUUUCCUGAUACUGAAGAAGAUUCUUGUCAAAAUGAAGGGAAAUAGAUGAUGGCAUUCCAUGCAUUCCACAGGUACUGAAGAUAAGCAACAGAAGAACUGAAGAUUUGGGGCUGAAUGUGCAUAGAAGUACAUGCAUUCAAGUCCUGGGUUAACAACUUUUCCAAACGUCAUGAGAGCAGCAGUUUGGAGACACAGGACAAAUGCUCCUCCAAAGAGCAUUUCAUCAUUUACUUCAAAGGACUACCACGGAAAGAGAGCAAAAGCAACUUACAUUUUCCAGUUCUGUUUUGGACUCAUGGCGUAACACCAGUGAAAUGGGAAAUAGCUAACGACUGCUUGUUCUGUUCUUCUAAAUUUUGCCAUUGUCUGCUCUCCCCAUUUCUCUUUAAGCACUUAUUUUUCUUCCUUCCCCCAUGUUGCAAUUAAUGCUGAAAAACCUACAAGACUAGGGAAGUCUACUUUUUUAUAUAAAAACUACUUUGUUUAGGUCUUAUAAUUCCUAGAAGGAAUUACCCAGGCACUCAAAUUAAAGUCAGGCCCACAUCAUAUCUGCACCCUGAGUUUUAUCUGGCAGUGUUCAAGUAUUUUGAAAGUCAUGGGAAAUGAACAGACCUUGAAAAAAUAUGGAUAUCCCAAAUGUUGAUAUCAUUGCUGUAAACUUUUUCAUUGCUCUGGUAUUUGGAGUACUCUACACUGUUUAAUUUGGGCUAUUAACAUUCCAAAUGAAAGUAGCAAGAACUCCACCAUGAGUUUAUCUUUCUUUGAGUAAUCUUAACAUGCACCUAAGUCUCUGGUUAAGUUUCCAAGAACCCCAUGUCAUGGUUAUAUUUCACAAGCACAUUAUCUACCCUCUCUGCUUUAGCCAUUUUACUUACACUGCCUAAGUGGCCCCCCUGGAAGCACUUACCUCUCUCCAGUGACUAUGUAGGGAGCUUGGUCUUAUAAUUUUUCUCUUUUACAUCAGAGCAAAAUUAGAUCUUAGAGCAGACAAAACCAAAUUAUGCCAAUACGUCCAACAGCAUCAAGUUAGAGUUUUGAUCCUUUAAAUCUUAUUCAUGCAAGUAAAUCAUGGUCAUGGAGUGGAAAAGAAGAGAAGCUGUGUUAUUAAAGGUCACGGGACCAGGGCUUCAGAGUAUCUAUGGCUUUCAAAUUCCCAUGCUCAAGCUCUUCCCCCUGUUGCUAUAUUUCAGCCAAUUUCUAAGCAAUAUUUUCAGCAUAAUAAAAUCCUGAACUUCAAAGCAGGCUCUUUUUUUUUUUUUAACAGAUGUAGCGAAAGCACAGUUACAAAAAUAAACAUCAACUAAUAAUGUAAUAAUGAUGGAAAGGGCAAGAUUCAAUAUAGUUCAAAGAGGUUCAGUUCAGCAUUACCUCUUUGCUACAAACCACGUAUAAAUACAUACACACAUGGAGGCACUAAUAAAAAUUGCUACACAGAAUAUACCCUUAGCUAUCCAGUCCCUCCACUUUAUUGCCUGCUUAUGCAGUAUAUGCAGUAAAGCCUCCUAGCAGUAAUUUAAUAAUUCAGUGAAUACUUACAAUAAAGAUACUGAAGAAUGGGAUUUGAAAGUCUUCUUUCUCAGCACCAACAGUUUCAGCUGACUUCACAUUCAAGCCUGACGCAUCAGAACAGUAGAGCAUAGGGAAAGUCUACAUUUUCUUGACUAUAAGCAAUUACUAGGCUGCUACUAUUGAAAUGCUAGGAUGACAGAACUACUUCAUAAGUGAGAAGCUGCAAAAUGUUGCUGAACAGUAGAAGUCUCGAGCUCAACCACCUGAUAUGCAUUUGAUGAAUGUUUUACUUUCCCUCAGUUUAUUGAAAUUAUCUUUCAACCUUUUUCCCC
ensembl:lncRNA